GAUGAACGCUGGCGGCGUGCCUAAUACAUGCAAGUCGAGCGAACAGACGAGGAGCUUACUCCUCUGACGUUAGCGGCGGACGGGUGAGUAACACGUGGAUAACCUACCUAUAAGACUGGGAUAACUUCGGGAAACCGGAGCUAAUACCGGAUAAUAUAUUGAACCGCAUGGUUCAAUAGUGAAAGACGGUUUUGCUGUCACUUAUAGAUGGAUCCGCGCCGCAUUAGCUAGUUGGUAAGGUAACGGCUUACCAAGGCGACGAUGCGUAGCCGACCUGAGAGGGUGAUCGGCCACACUGGAACUGAGACACGGUCCAGACUCCUACGGGAGGCAGCAGUAGGGAAUCUUCCGCAAUGGGCGAAAGCCUGACGGAGCAACGCCGCGUGAGUGAUGAAGGUCUUCGGAUCGUAAAACUCUGUUAUUAGGGAAGAACAAAUGUGUAAGUAACUAUGCACGUCUUGACGGUACCUAAUCAGAAAGCCACGGCUAACUACGUG
rnacentral:rRNA from 1 species